AAUUGGUAAACAUUCUGAACUUAUUGUUUAUGGGAGUGGGUUAUUUAUGGAUUCACAUAUCUUUUUGGGUGUUUAUAGUGUUUGCAGGUUCUUAUUUGCAGCUAACCUUAUAUGUUGGGUUGAUCCCCAACUUUUCAGACUUUAUAUAUAUGCUUGGCAGGUUGUUGUUUAUUAUCUUCACUUCAGUUGAGGUUACUUGUUGUGCGCAAGCAGGGAACAAAUAUCAUUCGCUUCGUAGGAGUCAACUCAUCAGUUUUGUUUCCUUGUACUCUAUCUUCUAUUUUUGUUUGCCUCUUGCAUAUCACGUUUUAGAAUUUCCCACCUUAACUUUACGUUGGAUGACUCAAUUACAUUGACGACAAUGUAAUGUUUAAGUGCGGGGGAAUGGUCAAGUAUAUAUAGAUUUGUGGUAGGAAUUCAAUUUCGGUAGAAUUUUUCAAAAAAAAAAAAAAGAUAAAAAAAGAUGUCUUGCGUGAAAUAACCAGCUGUGGAGCGGGUCUAUUUUUGUUUUCUUAUCAUAUUAUUACCAGCUGUGGAGCAGGUCUGUUCAAAAAAUAAAAGUGGUUUAUUCGAGCCUAUUGCAUUUCAUGACCAGCUGUGGAGCGGAUCUAUUUUUGUUUUAUUAUCAUAUUAUGACCAGCUGUGGAGCGAGUCUCUAAAGAAAACAUGAUGACCAGCUGUGGAGCGGGUCUUAAAUUUUGUGUAUGAUCAGCUGUGGAGCGGGUCUAAUUUCUGUUUUGCGCGGGACUAGCAAAAUGAAUUACAAGUGAAAUCCGAUCACCGGACCGAAAAAUGACCAAAGUGGAUGGCCUGGUAUCUUUAUAUAUCAGCACCCCUCAAUUCACUCAUGGCACUAAAUGGAGUUGGAGCUUAACCGGAGCUUGUGGGCUGGCAAGCCAACAACUUAUGGCCGCACCACUUAAGCGAUCAGAUAGCCAGGAGGUUGAGCAGAGAAAUCUCUUUGCCAAGCGUGUGAGCUGCACAAGAGAGUAAAUGGGUGACGUGGCUAGUUGCUAUACCACAUUUCUCUUUGUGGCCAUCGAAACAGCAUCAAUUGUUCUGUGUAAAAAAAAGAAUUUUAUUUCUCAUAGUUGCUGCUAAUUCAUCUUCAAUGACGAGAGAUCGAGACAACAGGGAGAGGGAAGAUGAGAAAAAUCAACAUAAAGGAACUCAGCAGCAACAGUAUUGGGUAUAAAUGGAGCUUCUCGACUGAGAAACAAAAGAAGCAACAAGAAGCAAUGGAUUUGAGGACUUCUACAACAUCAAUUGAAAUUAGGUCAUCAUAUGGAUCAAUUUCGGUGGUCAAUUGGGUGCCGAUUUAGUUGGUUUUAAGGCAAACAGUGAUAUUUUGGGUGAUUGCUGAAGUCGCAUGUUUCAGUCAUGAUUUCAAGCAGCCAGUGUUAAACUGAGACGGAAAUGGAGAUGGAUUCCAGGGGUGUUAGUGGUUAACGUUAAACAGAAUCAGAACUUGAAGGUGUUGUUCGAUUCAAUAUAUGGACUCAAGAUGGCUGAGAUUAUAAAUGGCGAAUGAAAUGAAGGGUGAUACAGUGGAUCUGUAAUGGAAAGAAUUGGUAGAUUUGGGUAGAAUCUGAUGCGGAGAAACAAAUGGGUUUGAUGUUCCAUAACAACAACAUGGAAUUGAAGAUUGAAAUCAGUACAUUUACAACAAUGAAUUUUUGGGAGUUUUAACUAUCGAUUGAAAUGGGGUUUGUGUUCUGUGGCAGUGUUGAAUGGAUUGAGAUUUUUGAAAAAUUGGUAGUCUGGUCGAGUUCUAGUGAUGACGGUGAAAGCUGGUUUGCACUAUGAACUGUUGGUAUACAAAGGAGGAAGAAUGAUCAGCAGGGGAAGGAAAGUGGCCAAGUUCAAUGAUGUAUUGAAGUCGAAUUUUGGGGCAAUCCGUGGCUGGCAUUAGGGUCUUCUAUCAACCCAGAUACAAUAUUGAUUGCAGACAAGUUCCAGAUAGGGUUAGCUAUUGCACGACAGCUGGAUUACUGCAUCGAUUCAUUGCUGUGGCUGUAUGAAGCUUCGAAGCUGAUUGACUGAGAGAUUAGAUGGAA